rnacentral:tRNA from 1 species
GGGCUAUAGCCAAGCGGUAAGGCAACGGACUUUGACUCCGUCAUGCGCUGGUUCGAGUCCUUCAUGGCUCACCA